UACGUAGGGAGCAAGCGUUGUCCGGAAUCAUUGGGCGUAAAGCGCGCGUAGGUGGCCUCAUAAGUCCGCUGUGAAAGUCAAAGGCUCAACCUUUGAAAGCCGGUGGAUACUGUGAGGCUAGAGUACGGAAGAGGCGAGUGGAAUUCCUGGUGUAGCGGUGGAAUGCGCAGAUAUCAGGAGGAACACCGGUGGCGAAGGCGGAUCUCUGGGCCUGUCCUGACGCUGAGGCGCGAAAGCUAGGGGAGCGAACAGG
rnacentral:rRNA from 1 species